rnacentral:rRNA from 2 species
AGCAGCCGCGGUAAUUCCAGCUCCAAUAGCGUAUAUUAAAGUUGCUGCAGUUAAAAAGCUCGUAGUUGAAUUUCGGGAUCAAUAUGUUGGUCGUGCCUCGGUACGUACUAGCUUAUUGGUUUCUCCCUUCUGACGAACCAUGAUGUCAUUUAUUUGGUGUUAUGGGGAAUCAGGACUGUUACUUUGAAAAAAUUAGAGUGUUUAAAGCAGGCUCACGCUUGAAUACAUUAGCAUGGAAUAAUGAAAUAGGACGUUUGAUUCUAUUUUGUUGGUUUCUAGGAUCGACGUAAUGAUUAAUAGGGAUAGUUGGGGGCAUUAGUAUUCAAUUGUCAGAGGUGAAAUUCUUGGAUUUAUUGAAGACUAACUACUGCGAAAGCAUUUGCCAAGGAUGUUUUCAUUAAUCAAGAACGAAAGUUAGGGGAUCGAAGACGAUCAGAUACCGUCGUAGUCUUAACCAUAAACUAUGCCGACUAGGGAUCGGAUGAUGUUAAUUUUUUAAUGACUCAUUCGGCGCCUUACG